rnacentral:rRNA from 1 species
GAUGAACGCUGGCGGCGUGCCUAAUACAUGCAAGUCGAGCGAACAGACGAGGAGCUUGCCUCUCUGACGUUAGCGGCGGACGGGUGAGUAACACGUGGAUAACCUACCUAUAAGACUGGGAUAACUUCGGGAAACCGGAGCUAAUACCGGAUAAUAUAUUGAACCGCAUGGUUCAAUAGUGAAAGACGGUUUUGCUGUCACUUAUAGAUGGAUCCGCGCCGCAUUAGCUAGUUGGUAAGGUAACGGCUUACCAAGGCAACGAUGCGUAGCCGACCUGAGAGGGUGAUCGGCCACACUGGAACUGAGACACGGUCCAGACUCCUACGGGAGGCAGCAGUAGGGAAUCUUCCACAAUGGGCGAAAGCCUGACGGAGCAACGCCGCGUGAGUGAUGAAGGUCUUCGGAUCGUAAACCUCUGUUAUUAGGGAAGAACAAAUGUGUAAGUAACUAUGCACGUCUUGACGGUACCUAAUCAGAAAGCCACGGCUAACUACGUG